AGGUGAGAUGGACCGGAGAGAAGAGACACGCAGCAGUCCAAUGUAUACAAGCCAAAUCAGGGGCAGAGACCAGAUUAGAGCGGAUUUAUACGCCAAAGAAAAUCCGUAGAAUAAACUCAGUGUCCUGUUUAAGGAGCUUCAAUAUCACCGUGAUAAAUAUAUUAUCUCUUCCAAACGUCCAUAAUACUCGGACAUGGAGAGAUUGGAUAUGAAGCAUUGUAAUAAUAUAAAGAUUAAACUGUCUCCAUUGUCAGGACUACUGAAAGCUGCAUAGCAACAUCCUGUAGGCUGCAUUCAUCUCACGCCCGACUUUAAUUAGUUGACAUUCAAUAACUACUUAGUUUACCGAGGGUGACUCCAACCUCUGGGAAAUAUCAAGCCCCCCUAAUAGCUGCGUAGUGGCGCCAUCGUCUGUCACUGAAAAAAAUCGCAGCGAGGCCUGCUGUCGUUUACAACCUCAUUAAGCCUCGGGUCAUUGGUUUCAACACCUAUUAAGGCUAAUCUGCAAGACCUGAUUUGGCUGAGAUCCUUUUAAUUCCUUCAGUUUGAGUUUUUCCACCAUCACGUGACACAUCAGAGAUCCCAUCAACUGAAGCUCCGAAGAGAUCGCGCUGCAUCAAGCUGAUUUCCCUUUUGGCAAAGCCAGUGCUACUCCGCCUUGGUUUGAGCCACAUUCUCCUGACAUUCUCAUCAAGCCUCUCACUCAGCAGAACAAAAAAACCCCACGGAAGAUUGCAAAGAAUGUCUUUUCCACCAAGGAAUGAUUAAUUGAUAUAAAUGAUUAAAACAGAGGAAAAUUAUGAAAUGAAUUUGAAAAGAGGCCUCACAGGAAAAGCUUUGUUUGUUCCGGGCCUUUUUUAAUGAGCUUUUCAUAACUGGGCAAGAGAAAUUACUCUGCGUGUUCUU